GGAGGGGUGCCAGAGUGGUUGAAUGGGACGGUCUCGAAAACCGUUGUACUCGCAAGGGUACCGUGAGUUCGAAUCUCACCCCCUCCG
rnacentral:tRNA from 1 species